AAGCAGGAACCUGAUUUUGACUGAUCAAUGGAUUGGUCUCCAUGUCCAACGAUUCAUGUGCAAUUGCCGCCUUUGAUGUUAAGAUUUGGACACAUGAAGAUCCGAUUCGUUACGUCUGUUAUAUCACAAACGUCAAUGUCAGUAUCAUCUUGGUAAACGUCAGUAUUUAUUCGUAGAUGUUAGUACAUUCUCGUAGAUGAUGGUCUUUUCUACAUAGAUGAAGGUAUCAGUAUGUAGAAGGAAAUUGUUAUCAAUGUAGUUCCGGGUCGCUUUUAUGUAACCCUAUUAGACUUUGUCACUAAUAUGUCCAUAUCAUUGUAUGAAUUUCACACUGUGAUGUUUGUACAUGAGUUUUGUGGAUAAACACUUGAGAAAACACAUUACGAAUGUAAAGCUUCCAGGAUUGAUUUAAAUCCAUUGUGCUUGUUAUGAACAUAUAUAUUCAUAGUUAUCUUACCCCACACUUAUAUGUCGUUUUCCAACUGGCUGAGCGCUUUUCUAUUAUUUUCAAUGUACCCCGCUUACAAGCUAGUAGACAGUUUCUACGUUACCCGCUGGAGAUGCCGAAGAGGGGGAAUUUGUUUCUUCGUGUUAGUAAAAAUUUAUCUCGAAUAAUUGAGCCCCGUAUGAUGUUUGGAAAAUACCGAUAUUUUGCGAAUGCAAAUCAAUGGAAGGGAGAUAACCCUAAAUGUGUUUUUCUUGUCUGUCCUUGUCGGUAUUGGCUAACUUUCUCUGGUACUCCUUAUUAUACUCCAAUACCCGUGCUUCAAACAGUUCAAAAUUAACAUUGAGAUGUUCGGUAUGAUAAAUACGUUGUUCACUAGUCCCUUGGGCACAUGGGUUAGUGUACUCAACCCAUGUACCCCUCGUGAUCAGUGAACAACUUAUAAUUUUAGUACAUCCGAGUAUAUGUAGGUGUUUCCUACCUAGAUGCAGGUAUCAUCGAUGUGGAAGUAAACUGUCAUCUAUGCAGUUGUUUCUGUGUUAUGAACUUUUUAGACUGUGGCACUAAUAUAUUUCCAUGUUAGUGUAUGACCUUCAGACAGACAGAUUGUAUGACCUUCACACUGUGAUGUUUGUACAUGAGUUUUGAAUCGUUGCAUUGUUUAAAACCCACUGUCCAUGCUAUUCUAAAAUAUAUCACUAACAGAUUUUCUAAGACAACUUUAUUUGCUUUAUAGCGUUUUGAAUACAUUAACACACUUGCAAUUGAAUUGUCAAUAUAGUUUGCUCCCAUUAAUAACACAAACGAAGUCGUAUCAAAACUCCGUGAUCACGCAUUUCUUCUGUAUGCCAGUGAAUGAGUAAAUCUUCAGGAGUAUUACACAUAUUCGUAGCUUAAAACAUCAGGUUAUCCAUUAUCACAAUAAUCAGUAAAAAAUGACAUUCAAAAUUCAAAAUCUAGAUCUUAUCAUACAAUUUAAUUUCCUUUAGAUAUGUUAAGCUUAAAUAGUUAAAAACGGCAUAGUAAGGCCCAACAUUUGUGUGAACAGUAUAAACAUCAUUGGCAAAGGGGCGAAACGUCCACAUAAUCCAAGGAACGCUGUUUGAGAGUAGCAGUGCAGUAGCAAGGAAUACAUAGAGGGGGGUCUUCUCACUUGUAUAAAAGAGAGUGAGUAUAAUGGC